UACGUAGGGAGCAAGCGUUGUCCGGAAUCAUUGGGCGUAAAGCGCGCGUAGGCGGCCCUGUAAGUCCGUUGUGAAAGUCAAAGGCUCAACCUUUGAAAGCCGGUGGAUACUGUCGGGCUAGAGUCCGGAAGAGGCGAGUGGAAUUCCUGGUGUAGCGGUGGAAUGCGCGGAUAUCAGGAGGAACACCGAUGGCGAAGGCAGCUCGCUGGGACGGUACUGACGCUGAGGCGCGAAAGCGUGGGUAACGAACAGG
rnacentral:rRNA from 1 species